rnacentral:rRNA from 1 species
GACCGCUCUAGAGAUAGAGUUUCCCCCUUCGGGGAACAAAGUGACAGGUGGUGCAUGGUUGUCGUCAGCUCGUGUCGUGAGAUGUUGGGUUAAGUCCCGCAAACGAGCGCAACCCUUAAGCUUAGUUGCCAUCAUUAAGUUGGGCACUCUAAGUUGACUGCCGGUGACAAACCGGAGGAAGGUGGGGAUGACGUCAAAUCAUCAUGCCCCUUAUGAUUUGGGCUACACACGUGCUACAAUGGACAAUACAAAGGGCAGCUAAACCGCGAGGUCAAGCAAAUCCCAUAAAGUUGUUCUCAGUUCGGAUUGUAGUCUGCAACUCGACUACAUGAAGCUGGAAUCGCUAGUAAUCGUAGAUCAGCAUGCUACGGUGAAUACGUUCCCGGGUCUUGUACACACCGCCCGUCACACCACGAGAGUUUGUAACACCCGAAGCCGGUGGAGUAACCNUUUANGNNGNUACCCGUUUGNAGGCAUNNU